UGCUACCUGCAGUCGAGCGGUAACAUGUGUAGUCCUUAUGUCUGAUGAGCCGACCGAACUGAGUGACUCAUGCUUCAGAAUCUUCCCAAAUGGUGGGAUAAUUCCUAGGCCAGAAGGGUUCUCAUAACUACCGUAAUACGCUCCAUGGUCGAGACAGCAGGGGAUCUUCAGAGACCUUGCUCCUGUUGUGAUGUGCCUAAAUUUCGCGAUUAUCAUAGGUUGCGUGAGGUAACAAGCAUCACCUAUCGCGGACCUUCCAGUAGCGUGACUCUACACACGUACGAACCUGACCACACGUGGCCACUAGCAUCACACGGCCCAGCACUCCUACGGGAAUUUUGCAGCUGGUGGAAUAUUGCCACAAUGGGGGAAACCCUGAUACAGCGAUGACCCCCUGUGUGACGAAGGCCUGCUUGGUUGUAAAACACUUUUGAUGGUGAUGAAAAGAACAACGCACUAAUACCUGUCUGGUCUUGACCUAACCCACAAUAAAAAGCACCGCGCUAACUCUGUGCCAAUUAUUGCGCGUAAUACGGAGCGUGCGCGCGUUCAUCAGUAAUUACUGGACAUCUCCCGUGCUUACUCGGAUAUUUAAGUCAAAUCUGAGAUCCCCGGGCUCAACCUAGGAAUUGCAUUUUACACUGCCUACCUUGAGUGCGGAAGAUGUCAAGCAGAAUUUCCUGUGUAGCAGUCGAAAUCCCUAGAUCUAAAAAGGAACUCAAGUGCCAAAACCAGCUUCCUGGUCCAGCUCCGACAUUCUGGCACUAAAGCCUGUGGAGCAAAAUUGAUUAGAUACCCUGGUACUCCACCCCGUUAACCAUGAGAACUAGACAUUAACAGGGUAACCCUCCC
rnacentral:rRNA from 1 species